CCAAACCCAGACCUAGCGGUUCUCCCUCUGCCUUUAUCCCAUCACAGAGGGUGGUCCUGAUGGAUCCAAGCAGAAACCCAGAUGGCAUCUCGUGAGCUAACAGAUCCUGAGGAAAAACAUUUGUAUUUGAUGUGGGUUUUGAUCACACAGCAACCCAGCUGGGAACCAGAGAAGGCUCAGGGUGCAUGCAAGGAUGAUAUGCCAUCAAAGGAGGAGAAAGGAGGAAACACUGAAGAGGAAGACAGGGAUGUCAUGGAUUCACAUGAACCUCAGGAUGUUACAGCAGCGAGAGAAGAGAUCAACCUGAUGCUGGUAGAACAGAGCAGGAUGGUGGCCCUGAAGGUGAGGAGAGGAAGGUGCCCUCAGGGUUGUCAGUCUGGCCUCUGCCAGGGGGUGCUUGAGGGCAGGAUGGCAGCAGCAAAGCUCAGAGGUGCAUGUGGGUUUGUGCUGGCACCAUGAAAGCAGUGAGGCACCUGACUCACAAAUACUUCAGGCUGAUGAAGGAAGCAGCUUAGGAACAUUGAUCAGGAAC
rnacentral:lncRNA from 1 species